rnacentral:rRNA from 1 species
GCACAACGCGAAGAACCUUACCUACUCUUGACAUCUAGCGAAGAUUGCAGAGAUGCAGUUGUGCCUUCGGGAACGCUAAGACGGGUGCUGCAUGGCUGUCGUCAGCUCGUGUUGUGAAAUGUUGGGUUAAGUCCCGCAACGAGCGCAACCCUUAUCCUUAGUUACCAGCACGUUAGUGGUGGGCACUCUAAGGAGACUGCCGGUGACAAACCGGAGGAAGGUGGGGAUGACGUCAAGUCAUCAUGGCCUUUAUGGCCAGGGCUACACACGUGCUACAAUGGCAGGUACAGAGGGAAGCCAACCGGCACGGGGAGCUAAUCCCAGAAAGCCUGUCUUAGUCCGGAUUGCAGUCUGCAACUCGACUGCAUGAAGUUGGAAUCGCUAGUAAUCGCAGAUCAGCAUUGCUGCGGUGAAUACGUUCCCGGGUCUUGUACUACACCGG